UCGGGCAGGUGUACCAGGCGUUGUAGGCCGCGCCGCUGGGGCCGGGGCUGGUGUCGGCGAGCAUCUUCUCGUCCAUCGGCUCGGCUUCCAGUUUGCCGGGG
rnacentral:tRNA from 1 species